rnacentral:lncRNA from 1 species
GUCAGGAGCGCGCGCGGGCGGGGGAGCGCGGCCGCGGUCACCAGCGAGCGCCGCGCCGCGGCCCGAGACCCGCCCUGGGGCCCGAGCCGAGCCGGCUGGCUGCGGCGCCGCCGAGGGCCUGGGGGGCCGGAGGGCCCGGGCGGCGGCUGCCCCGCGGCCGCGGCGCGCAGGGCGAGACCCCGCCAACUUCGGCGGCCGGGCCCGGGCGGGGGCCGUGGGCGCGAGCGGAGCCGCCCGGAGCCGGCGCGUCGGCGGAGCGAGUGAUCACCCUCUGCCCCAUCCCACUCUUCGCAGAAAGGAGCUGCCACGAGACUGUGAGUGUUGACCGUGCGAGGACCAAGGAGAGUCUUAGAUUUCAAGCUGUUUCAGUGCCGAAAGACAGCACCCGUGCCUGCCUCAGCCAAGCCUUGAGGAAGUUUGGUGGCAUUAGAAAUCUUCAAAGAAACCUCAGUCAGCUGUGCGCCUUUUCAGCAGCGUUACUGACAUUGUUACUGGCAGUUCUUCCCUGUGUAUGCUCUGGCCGCCUUGUGACUGGGCUCACGUGGCUCUUAGGGUGGCCGUGCUUUUUCAUCGUUGCUAGUGUGCUGUUUGCCUGAGAAGACUCAGCCCUCCGAUGGACCCCAGGGCCGUGUAAUCCCAAGUUAAUUAAAAAUAAACUUUUAUGAAUAUUUAAGAGUCA